GGAAUCUUCCACAAUGGACGCAAGUCUGAUGGAGCAACGCCGCGUGAGUGAAGAAGGGUUUCGGCUCGUAAAGCUCUGUUGUUAAAGAAGAACGUGGGUAAGAGUAACUGUUUACCCAGUGACGGUAUUUAACCAGAAAGGAACGGCUAAAUACGUGCCAG
rnacentral:rRNA from 1 species